rnacentral:rRNA from 1 species
UCCACCGAUUGACUAAGGUUUCCAGAGGAAGGCUCGUCCGCUCUGGGUUAGUCGGGUCCUAAGCUGAGGCCGACAGGCGUAGGCGAUGGAUAACAGGUUGAUAUUCCUGUACCACCUAUAAUCGUUUUAAUCGAUGGGGGGACGCAGUAGGAUAGGCGAAGCGUGCGAUUGGAUUGCACGUCUAAGCAGUAAGGCUGAGUAUUAGGCAAAUCCGGUACUCGUUAAGGCUGAGCUGUGAUGGGGAGAAGACAUUGUGUCUUCGAGUCGUUGAUUUCACACUGCCGAGAAAAGCCUCUAGAUAGAAAAUAGGUGCCCGUACCGCAAACCGACACAGGUAGUCAAGAUGAGAAUUCUAAGGUGAGCGAGCGAACUCUCGUUAAGGAACUCGGCAAAAUGACCCCGUAACUUCGGGAGAAGGGGUGCUCUUUAGGGUUAACGCCCAGAAGAGCCGCAGUGAAUAGGCCCAAGCGACUGUUUAUCAAAAACACAGGUCUCUGCUAAACCGUAAGGUGAUGUAUAGGGGCUGACGCCUGCCCGGUGCUGGAAGGUUAAGAGGAGUGGUUAGCUUCUGCGAAGCUACGAAUCGAAGCCCCAGUAAACGGCGGCCGUAACUAUAACGGUCCUAAGGUAGCGAAAUUCCUUGUCGGGUAAGUUCCGACCCGCACGAAAGGCGUAACGAUUUGGGCACUGUCUCAACGAGAGACUCGGUGAAAUCAUAGUACCUGUGAAGAUGCAGGUUACCCGCGACAGGACGGAAAGACCCCGUGGAGCUUUACUGUAGCCUGAUAUUGAAAUUCGGCACAGCUUGUACAGGAUAGGUAGGAGCCUUUGAAACGUGAGCGCUAGCUUACGUGGAGGCGCUGGUGGGAUACUACCCUAGCUGUGUUGGCUUUCUAACCCGCACCACUUAUCGUGGUGGGAGACAGUGUCAGGCGGGCAGUUUGACUGGGGCGGUCGCCUCCUAAAAGGUAACGGAGGCGCUCAAAGGUUCCCUCAGAAUGGUUGGAAAUCAUUCAUAGAGUGUAAAGGCAUAAGGGAGCUUGACUGCGAGACCUACAAGUCGAGCAGGGUCGAAAGACGGACUUAGUGAUCCGGUGGUUCCGCAUGGAAGGGCCAUCGCUCAACGGAUAAAAGCUACCCCGGGGAUAACAGGCUUAUCUCCCCCAAGAGUUCACAUCGACGGGGAGGUUUGGCACCUCGAUGUCGGCUCAU